rnacentral:rRNA from 1 species
GACAGAGGGUGCAAACGUUGUUCGGAAUUACUGGGCGUAAAGCGCGUGUAGGCGGCUAUGUAAGUCGGGCGUGAAAUCCCACGGCUCAACCGUGGAAGUGCACCCGAAACUGCCUCGCUAGAGUCUCGGAGAGGAAGGUGGAAUGCUUGGUGUAGAGGUGAAAUUCGUAGAUAUCAAGCGGAACACCGGUGGCGAAGGCGGCCUUCUGGACGAUGACUGACGCUGAGACGCGAAAGCGUGGGGAGCAAACAGG